AAGACGUGACUCCCUCGGGCGUUUUCGGAAGUGACGCAGGCCAUGUGGGAUGUCUGUAAACGCUGCAGCUGACGCUUCUCACGCCUCAGCAGGUUGUCUGCCAGUGGCCAGGUGUAGCUGGCAGAAAAUGGAAUAGGUAUUCAAGGUGAUAGCAAUCCGGUCUUAGAUGCUCCUUAGCCAAGUCCUUUCAGGCAGUAAUCUUUUUUUUUUAAUUGCUGUCAUUUUCUAAACUUCUUUGACUAAUACUGUUGAAUCUGAACAACAAACAACAAAAAAAGAAUGUGUUGUCUGCUGCUAUUAUUAGCAUUUAUUUUCAGUAUCUUUCAGCUCAGGAAAUGACUUCCCCUCUUCGUUCCGUGAAUAGAUCUUUAACAGGGUCACUUAGCUCCUGGGCGGUGGAAACAGGUGUGCUGGGAGAGGACGAGGAUCUCUUUGGACAGCUUUUGCCUUUGAAGGCCGUCUCCAGAGCCUUCCCCUGGCUGCGGUGGUUUUGUACAGACGACAGGGCCUGCCUCACCUGCCAGCAUCGCACAGACGACCACCACAGGCACAUGGGCAGGGUCGUAGCUGUGGAGGUGGAUUCAUUUUUGUAUUUUGAGGGCUUCCACCAAAUUGUCUUGGGAGUGAAAGCUUCGCGAGGCUGUGUCGAUGGGCUGCGGCUGAAAUGAGGGCGAGUCUCCGUCGUAAAUGGUGGCUGAGCGCCCUCUCACUAUAUAUGUGUUUGUUGGGAUGGCUGUCCCGUAUUUUGUAUAUUGGAGUAAAAAGUUCUAUAAAUUAUCGUAACUGAAAGUAAAUAUUCUAAAUUAAGUCUCACUUCUAAGUCGCAUGGCUUCUGUCUUGGCACUCUUCCCUUGAGAAGCUUGCUCAAGACGGGAGCCAUGCAACUGGGCAGAGGGGAGUGUGUAAUAUAUGGGUCCCUGUGCCUCUAACCCUCCGUGUGGGGUGUUUUCUUUCCUUGAUGGCAGGAGAAUGACCUCCCUUCCAUUACAUAUUACUCUUGAUACUUUCUUUAAAAAUACUUCUCAUUAAAGAUCUCUCGUGAGGUAUUUACCUGGGAGCCCUCAGGUCCUGGCUCUUCAGUGAAUUUAGCUGUGUGACCUUGGGCAGGUCACCUAACCUCUCUGUGCUUCACUCUCCCUAUCUUGUAAAAUGGGAGUGAUACCUACCUCACAGGGUUGUUGUGGGGAUUAAUUAGAUAUAAUGUCUGUAAAGCAUCUAAGGUUCUUGAAGAAGGCGCUAGAGAAAUAUAAAAUAAUAUCUAUUAAAGUUGGUUUAUUUGUGCUUGUGGGUUUUUGUGUGUUUCUUUCCUUUUUUUCUAAAAGGCCUUUGCGAGCUCGAAGUUUAUACUUGGGAAAUAGGCUGACUGGCUUUGCUCCACUUGUCGCUUGUGUUGCCCGAAGAGGAUGUCCCACAGCACAUCCCAUUCCACGUGUGCCCGCGUUUCAUCAGCACGGACCUGGCAUUUAUUUGUCUUUAUGUAGUGGCAGGGUCUUUCCAAAAACCCCAAGUUACAAAAUUUAACUUUUGUUUUUUUAGGGCCGCACCCGUGGCACAUGGAGGCUCCCAGGCUAGGGGUCGAAUCGGAGCUGUAGCCUCCGGCCUACGCCAGAGCCAUAGCAACACGGGAUCCCAGCCGCAUCUGCAACCUACACCACAGCUCCUGGCAACGCUGGAUUCUUAACCCACUGAGCGAGGCCAGGGAUCGAACCUGCAACCUCAUGGUUUCUAGUUGGAUUCGCUUCCCCCGAGCCACAACGGGAAUUCCAGACAUUUAACUUCAGAGGCACAGACUCCUUAUUUUUUUUUUUUUUUUUUUUGUCUUUUUGCCUUUUCUAGCGCUGCUCCCGCAGCAUAUGGAGGUUCCCAGGCUAGGGGUCGAAUUGGAGCUGUAGCCACCGGCCUACGCCAGAGCCACGGCAACGAGGGAUCCGAGCUGCAUCUGCAACCUACACCACAGCUCAUGGCAACGCCGGAUCCUUAACCCAUUGAGCAAGGCCAGGGAUUGAACCCGCAACCUCAUGGUUCCUAGUCCGAUUCAUUAACCACUGAGCCAUGACGGGAACUCCUAGAAGCAUAGACUCUUUUUUGUGUGUGUGUCUUUUUGCCUUUUUUCUAAGUCUGCUCCCGAGGCAUAUGGAGGUUCCCAGGCUAGGGGCCUAGUUGGAACUCUAGCCAUUGGCCUACGCCAGAGCCACAGCAACGUGGUAUCCAAGCGGCGUCUUCGACCUACCCCACAGCUCACAGCAACGCCAGAUCCUUAACCCACUGAGCAAGGCCAGGGAUCGAACCCGCAACCUCAUGGUUCCUAGUCCGAUUCGUUAACUACUGAGCCAUGACAGGAAUUCCAUAGAAUCAUGGACUCUUAGAGGGCGAGAUACCUCAACAGUCACUGUUCCUGGCACACACACACACACACCCACCCCACCACACACCUCCCUUCCGGGAUGGUAAUUAGUCCUGUAAAUCAGUGCAUGAAUGUGAGAGUUUGAAGCCUGUCCCGCUGUUAGGUGAUGGGAGUCG
ensembl:lncRNA